CAACUCUACACCCAGGCACUGGAGAAGUGAUGGGUUCAGGAUUCCAUCAGGUCUACCAUGAACAGGAAUCCCAUCAAAUUUGGGGACCUGGCAUCCACUUAAUUCAAGGGACAUAUCAAAGAAGCCCCUCUGGGAUGUUCUGCUGGAAUCAGGGAGACCAGGAACAGUCAUCUUGGGAUGCUGGCCCUGGCAUUAUUGCUGCUGGCCCCUCAGGACCAUGCUAUUGGACCCUUGACUCUGCUGCAGCCAUUGUGAAAAAUCUCUGGUUGACCACAGGGCCUUUGCAUCACUUCCUCACAAUCCAAAGCCCUUGGCAGGAGCAUCUGAUUGGCUAAGCUCAGAUCACAUGACUAUGUACUAGUUAUAAAGAGCCUGGAAGAGAGAAUAUUUGAUUCUCCGUUGGCUUCCCUAGAGAGAAGUAGAUAGACCCUGGCACCCCACCUGCCCAAAAGACCUCCCACUCCAAUAGAAUGAUAUCUAUCUGGGCACCAGAAGCAAACUUGAGAAGACAACUCUGCGGUCCACGGAGCUCAGUAGAACCUCAGUUAACUGCUGGCUGCCUCCGCCACCAACAGAUACAACAAAGGGCUUUUGAUACAACAGUGAUCGCUUGCUUACACUAC